rnacentral:rRNA from 1 species
GACGAACGCUGGCGGCGUGCUUAACACAUGCAAGUCGAACGAAGUGGCGAACGGGUGAGUAAAGCGUAAUCAACCUGCCCUUCAGAGUGGGACAACAGUUGGAAACGACUGCUAAUACCGCAUACUUAAGGAGGGGCAGGCGUCGGAUUAGCUAGUGGGAGGGGUAACGGCCCACCAAGGCGAUGAUCAGUAGCCGGUCUGAGAGGAGGAACGGCCACAUUGGUACGGAGACACGGCCCAGACUCCUACGGGAGGCAGCAGUGGGGAAUCUUCCGCAAUGGACGAAAGUCUGACGGAGCAACGCCGCGUGAGUGAUGACGGCCUUCGGGUUGUAAAGCUCUGUUAAUCGGGACGCGGUACCGGAAUAGAAAGCCACGGCUAACUACGUGCCAGCAGCCGCGGUAAUUC